rnacentral:rRNA from 1 species
AGUGAACGCUGGCGGUAGGCCUAACACAUGCAAGUCGAACGGCAGCACAGUAAGAGCUUGCUCUUACGGGUGGCGAGUGGCGGACGGGUGAGGAAUACAUCGGAAUCUACUUUUUCGUGGGGGAUAACGUAGGGAAACUUACGCUAAUACCGCAUACGACCUACGGGUGAAAGCAGGGGAUCUUCGGACCUUGCGCGAUUGAAUGAGCCGAUGUCGGAUUAGCUAGUUGGCAGGGUAAAGGCCCACCAAGGCGACGAUCCGUAGCUGGUCUUAGAGGAUGAUCAGCCACACUGGAACUGAGACACGGUCCAGACUCCUACGGGAGGCAGCAGUGGGGAAUAUUGGACAAUGGGCGCAAGCCUGAUCCAGCCAUACCGCGUGGGUGAAGAAGGCCUUCGGGUUGUAAAGCCCUUUUUGUUGGGAAAGAAAAGCAGCAGGUUAAUACCCCGCUGUUCUGACGGUACCCAAAGAAUAAGCACCGGCUAACUUCGUG